rnacentral:rRNA from 1 species
UACGAAGGGUGCUAGCGUUGUUCGGAAUUACUGGGCGUAAAGCGCGCGUAGGCGGCUUUGCAAGUCAGGGGUGAAAUCCCACAGCUUAACUGUGGAAUUGCCUUUGAAACUGCAAAGCUUGAGUGUCGGAGGGGAUAGCGGAAUUGCUAAUGUAGAGGUGAAAUUCGUAGAUAUUAGCAGGAACACCGGUGGCGAAGGCGAGUCCCUGGACAACUUCUGACGCUGAGGCACGAAAGCUAGGGGAGCAAACAGG